rnacentral:rRNA from 1 species
GACAGAGGUGCCAAGCGUUAGGCGGAAUCACUGGGCUUAAAGCGUGUGUAGGCGGAAUGGUAAGUACCUUGUGAAAUCCCACAGCUCAACUGUGGAACUGCUCGGUAUACUGCUUUUCUUGAGCCACUUAGGGGCUGUCGGAACAAACGGUGGAGCGGUGAAAUGCGUAGAGAUCGGCAGGAACACCCAGGGGGAAACCAGUCGACUGGGCAGCACCUGACGCUGAGGUGCGAGAGCGUGGGGAGCGAACCGG